GGGGAUGAUCGGUUUCGACGACGGUCGUGGAUUCAGGAGAAGCGGGUCGAGGAUGCACAGUCAUCUCGUCAACGCUCUGUGCGAACCAAUAGGUGCCGAUAACACUCGCACCGACUUCGCCCUCGCCGCCUGAGGCGAGCCUCGAAGUCCGUCAGCCCGGGGGAGCUUCCGCCCCGGUUCCUGGCGUCAUCUAGGAAGCCACUGCUGAGGCCCCUCGCCACCGGGGGUCCCGGGACUUUCAGGUGGCUGAGCCCGUCGGCGUCCUUGUUCGCGUGAGACGCCGGGGCUGAGAAACUCAGCAGCGAACUGCACCCGGAGAAGUCCUGUUGCACCACCGUCGGACCGGGGUUCGAUUCCCCGCAUCUCCACUA
rfam:Actinomyces sp. CtC 72 NODE_51_length_14881_cov_20.2347_ID_101, whole genome shotgun sequence.